rnacentral:lncRNA from 1 species
GAAGGGAAGGAAAGUGCUUGGACGUGCUUGCUGUCCAACUUGGAUCGUUGGAGCGUUUAGGUGUUUUCUUUCUUUUGUUUCUAAUGUUUAAAUUCAUUUCCUUUCGUUUUGUUGUAAAUAUGAGUGGCUAAACCCCUCUUGGCUAGGGGUGAUUUCAAAGCCAUGAUUAUGUGUGCAAUAUAAUUUGAUAAAUUUCAGUUAUGAACUCUUGAAUCGUGUAUGCAAUUGGCUUAACUAUUUGAUUGAUAACUUAUUUGUAUUUGUUAAUUAAGGGUCGACACUUAAUUGGCAUGCAUAAAUCCGUUGCUAGAAUAUAAGGAAGUUUCACAUAAUCGUUACAAACUUAUAUUCACAUGUAGUGAAUGUCGCUUAUAAACGAUCGCGUUAAGUUCAAUUCUUAGCAUGAGUGACAUGAUGUCAUAGUUGCAAGUGCUUUGUCAAUGCUUAUGAUUUUCAUUAAACGUAAUGAUCUUUGAUUGUGUCUCUAUUAUGAUGUCAUGUAGGGAACUUUAGAAGAAUGUUUUGGGUUGUCGAAUGAUGUCAUCAAAUCCAAUAAAACAAAGAAAAUUUGAGAGUUAACUAGUGAUGUCAUGGUUAAUUUGGAGCAUUGUCGUUCAUAAUUCAAUGAAGUAGUAACUGGAAAUCGAGUUAUUUGCAUACAUGUCAUGUGUGGAGAAAAAGCCUCUAGCUAUCUCAUCCAUCAUCUUAUUUCUCACAUUCGUUUUACAAUCCGUAUAGUUUUUCAUACUUGUUUGUUUGUUUGUUUGUUUCAACUUCAUCCAAAUCAAAACCCCCCUUUUAGUUUCUUGUUUCAAAGUGUUUCAAAUCCGUUUUAGUUUGUGUUUUUAAGUGUUUUGAUAUAAGUAAAAGUCAAUUUUCAUCCAAAGUCAUUCCUAGUGUCUAGUUUAAGUUUAUUUGGUUGUUUUAAGUUGUUUUGAGUAUUUUAAGUUGGCUUUGAGUCUUGUGAGUCUAUUUCAGUGUUUUUAAGUUUAGUUUUAUGUUUUUGAGUCAGUUUAGAGGUUAUUAACAAGCCCUCCUAAUCCCCGGUCCAGAACGAUCCCUACUAAUACUUGUACUACAAUUGUCAAAAGAGGGUUAAAUUUGUGUGUUAAGAUAAUUUUCGCACCAAGUUUUUGGCGCCGUUGCCUGGGAUUAGCAACUUUGCUAAUCCCUUAUUAUUUCUUUUUGUUUAUUUUCAUGUUUUUUUGUUCCUAGUUGCUGAUUUUACUUGUUUUCUUGUUUUAGGUGGUUUAUGACUUGAAGUUCUCAACCUGUUCAUAAGCACAUCUUUGAAUUUGACGACGAUUUUGAACGAACUUUGAGACGGGCAAGGAAUCAACAAGAUCCCCAACCAUCUCAACCUACACCAGAUCUCGAAGAAGACAAAGUAGAAGAGCAAGAGGAGGACACGGCAAGGACUUUUGAAGAAGUCCAAGAAAUGGCAGUAGACAAUCGAACAAUCAAGGAGCUUUCCGCUUCGGGAUUGGACAAUGCUCUGCCUUUAUGCAUUCAAUAUCCAAGGGCAGCUUAAAACAAGACCGACGAGUUCGAAUUAAAGUCUAGUUUAUUGCAUCAUAUUCCUAAGUUCCAUAGGUUGUCCAUGGAAGAUUCUAAUAAACAUUUGAAGGAGUUCGAGGUUGUUUGUUCGAGCAUGACCCUUGUGAAUGUUGAUGGGAGCAUUCUGAAAAUGAAGGCUUUUCCCUUUUUUCUCUUAGAAAAGGCUAAAGAUUGGUUGUAUGAGCUAGCCUCCGGAAUUGUCACAUCAUGGGAGAGUAUGAAACGGGCAUUUUUGAAGAAGUUUUUCCCAACUUCUCGAGUCAUUCUACUACGCAAAAGGAUUAGUGGCAUUCAGCAAAACCAAGGUGAAUCUUUUCCCACUUACUAUGAGUGUUUUAAAACCCUUGUUGCUUUAUGUCCACAGCACCAGAUGAAGGAGGAGCUUCUUCUUCAAUAUUUCUACGAAGGGCUUCUACCAAUUGAACGCCAAAUGUUAGACGCCUCAGCGGGAGGAGCUUUGGUGGACAAAACACCUAUGGUUGCCAAGACCUUAAUUGCUAAUCAAGCAUUGAAUGCUCAACAAUAUGAAGGCGUUGGUCAAAGAGACAACCCACGACAACCACAAGUUAAUGAGGUAAGUGCUAUUUCCGAACUUCAAAAUCAAAUGGCUAAUCUUAUUACUCUUCUUUCAUAGGUGGUUGAAAAACCAAAAGAACAAAGUGUACCUGCUUGUGGUGUGUGCUCAAUGAAUGGACAUCUCACAGAUAAGUGCCCUCAAUUGAUCGAGAACGGAGGGUGGGAAUCUACUAACGCCGUGGGUUUUGGGAGUAAAAACCAACCAAGGAAUGAACCGUUCUCGAAUACAUACAAUCCAGGUUGGAGAGAUCAUCUAAAUUUCAAAUGGAGGAAGCCCCAACAAACCCAACAACAAAGUGCAUUCAGACAACAACCUCCGGGAUUCUAUCAAAGGCCGUAUGCACCCUCACAACCCCAAACACAACCUGCCCAAAAUAACUCAGGUUCGUCUUUUGAUAAUGCUCAAGUUAUUCAGUUACUAACUACGUUGCCGAAGGGUCAGGAAAAUCAAGCCAAAGAUAUGCACAAUUAUGCCAAGGAAGUGCAAAAUCAAGCUCGAGAGGUGACUGAAUUGAAGAGACAAAUUGGACAAAUGGCUGAGUUCAUGGGGCAAUUUAGUAGAGAGCCAGGUAAGUUACAUAGUUCGACGGAUGUGAAUCCAAAGGGAGGCUUCGAAUCUGCCAAAGCCAUCACCUUGCGAAGUGGACAAGAAGUUGGAUCUGAUCCUAGCCCAUCUAAAUCCAAUCAAAAGGAGGACGAAAAGAUGCAAUCUGAGGAGAAAGAACAAGGCCUGCCCUUGGCAAGGAUUGAGCAAUCGUUACCGCAGCCAUCUACACACCCUAAUUCGACCACCAAAGGUAAGUUGGGUUCAAAUUCCAUGACUUCUAAUUCCAUUCCAACCAAUGCACCAUUUCCUCGCAGGUUUAUGCAAUCAAAGAAGGAUGAGAGUGACAAAGACAUCCUUGACACAUUUAGAAAAGUGCAAGUCAACAUUCCACUUCUAGAUGCAAUUAAACAAGUCCCUAAGUAUGCUAAGUUCCUGAAUGAGCUGUGCACUACAAGGAAGAGGGCUUCAAACAAAGAAGUGGUAAGGGUAAGUGAGAAUGUCUCAGCUGUGUUGCAAUGAAAACUACCUCCUAAGUGCAAAGAUUCAGGCAGUUUUACAAUUCCUUGUGUUAUAGGAAAUACUCGCUUUGAAUCUACCAUGUUAGAUCUACGUGCAUCAAUAAAUGUCAUGCCUUAUUUAAUAUAUGCAUCUAUGAACUUGGGAGAAUUAAAAAAUGAUGGAGGGAUCAUUCAACUGGCCGAUAGAUCUAAUGUGUAUCCAAAAGGUGUUUUGGAGGAUGUUUUAGUGCAGGUGAAUCACCUAGUCUUUCCGGCGGACUUCUACGUCCUUGAAAUGGAAGACUCGAACCAUUCCUCUAAAUUACCAAUAUUACUUGGCCGACCAUUCAUGAAGACUGCCCGUAUAAAGAUAGAUGUAUUCAAGGUAACAUUGACCAUGGAAUUUGAUGGGGAAGUUAUUGAUUUCAAUAUUUCUGAUGCUAUGAGAUAUCCUCAUGAUGGUCACUCUUGUUUCUCUAUUAAUGUGAUUAACUCUUGGGCGCAGGAAUUCCUUGAUGAUUUGAAUGAGGAUGCACUUGAAAAGACUCUCACGCAAAGCAUUGGACUAAAAAACGAAGGGUUAGCACUUAGGCAUGCACACGGCAACAACAAGGAACAUCUUGCCGUGCCUAUUCAAGAAGAAUUUGUGGAGAUGGUUGCUACCCUAGAGUCAAAUCCAAGGCAUAUUGGUAAGUCUCCUAACCUAAUUUCAAUUCCCAUUUCGACUAACAAGUUACUUCCUUCUGUAAUCCAGCCCCCUUCCCUAUAGCUUAAACCAUUGCCUAGCCAUUUGAAAUAUGUGUUUUUGGGAGAGCAAAAGACGCUGCCCGUCAUCAUCUCUUCUUCACUCACUGCACAAGAGGAGGACAUGUUGGUGAGGGUGCUUCAGGAAUACAGAACUGCCAUUGGGUGGACAUUGGCUGAUAUUAAGGGAAUUAGCCGUACCACUUGUAUGCAUCGAAUACUCUUGGAAGAAUGAGCCAAUCCAUCUAGAGAAACAUAAUGCCGACUUAAUCUACCUAUGAUGGACGUUGUGAAGAAGGAAAUCAUCAAGCUACUAGAUUGUGGAGUGAUUUACCCAAUUUCUGAUAGCCAUUGGGUCUCGCCGGUCCAAGUUGUUCCUAAGAAGUCCGGAGUCACUGUGGUAAAAAAUGAAGAUAAUGAGCUUGUGCCCACCCGAAUCCAAACCGGAUGGAAAGUUUGUAUUGACUAUUGGAAGCUCAAUGCUACGACAAGAAAAUAUCAUUUCCCGCUGCCAUUUAUUGAUCAAAUGCUGGAAAGGUUAGCCGGUCAUUCAUUUUAUUGUUUUCUUGAUGGCUAUUCGGGUUAUAAUCAGAUUGUGAUAGCUCCCGAUGACCAAGAAAAGACUACCUUCACAUGUCCCUUUGGUACCUUUGCUUAUCGACGCAUGCCAUUUGGGCUAUGCAACACACCAACCACAUUCCAAAGGUGUAUGGUAAGUAUUUUCUCAGAAUUUGUGGAAAAGAUCAUUGAAGUGUUUAUGGAUGACUUUAAUGUCUUUGGUGACUCAUUUGAUGCAUGCUUGAAUAAUCUUACUCUGAUCUUACAACGAUGCAUCGAAACUAAUCUUAUCUUGAAUUGGGAAAAGUGCCAUUUUAUGGUAAAACAAGGUAUAGUUUUGGGGCAUAUCAUAUCAGAAAAAGGGAUUGAGGUUGAUAAAUCUAAAAUAGAUCUUGUACGUCACUUACCCUCUCCUACUUCAGUGAGGGAGGUUCGUUCUUUUCUUGGCCAUGCAGGAUUUUAUAGGAGAUUUAUCAAGGAUUUCUCAAAAAUCGCCCAACCCCUUUGCCGUAUACUCCAAAAUGAAGUAGCCUUCGAGUUCAACAAGGAGUGUGAGACCGCUUUCAAAACCCUCAAGGACAUGUUGACGUCGGCCUCCAUAAUCAUGCCACCAAAUUGGAACCUUCCAUUUGAGCUAAUGUGUGAUGCAUCUGAUUAUGCCAUUGGUGCUGUUUUAGGCCAAAUGAGGAACAAACAGCCCCACGUUAUCCACUACGCUUCUCGGACACUAAAUGAUGCUCAAUUGAAUUAUUCUACCACUGAGAAAGAACUUCUUGCAAUUGUAUUUGCUUUAGAUAUAUUUUGUUCAUACUUACUUGGCACCAAAGUGAUUGUAUAUUCUGACCAUGCAUCGUUGAAGUACCUCAUCACCAAGAAGGAGGCCAAACCAAGGCUGAUUCGUUGGAUGCUCAUACUUCAAGAGUUCAACGUUGAAAUAAAAGACAAAAAGGGGAAUAAAAACGUGGUGGCUGACCACCUUAGCUGUUUGGUGCACAAGGAGGACUCCUUACCCAUUCUAGAGACCUUCCCUGACGAGCAAUUACUGUCCCUAGAGGUAAGUGAGCCCUGGUAUGCUGAUUUGGUCAAUUAUUUGGUCACAAAACAAGUUCCUAGCACUCUAGAUAAAUACAAGCGUGAUAAACUCAGAAAUGAUGCACGAUUUUAUGUGUGGGAUGAUCCAUAUUUGUGGAGGUAUUGUCCUGACCAGAUUAUUCGUAGAUAUGUGCAUAAUUCCGAGUUUAAUUCAAUUCUUGCAUUUUGCCAUAGUUAUGCAUGUGGGGGUCAUUUUGGCACCCAAAGGACAACCCUUAAGGUUUUAGAGAGUGGUUUCUAUUGGCCUAUAUUGUUUAAAGAUGCUAGAACAUUUUGUAUAACUUGUGAUAGAUGCCAAAGAACAGGUACAAUCAGUGCCAAAGACCAAAUGCCGCAAACCCCUAUCUUUAAUGUGGAGAUCUUUGAUGUAUGGGGUAUGGAUUUCAUGAGACCCUUUCUGCCCUCAUAUGGUUUUACUUAUAUUUUGCUAGCCGUUGAUUAUGUGUCGAAAUGGGGGGAAGCCAAAGCCACCCAUACUAACGAUUCUAGAGUGGUGGCAGAUUUUAUCAAGGCUAACAUCUUUUCUAGAUUUGGCAUGCCGAGGGUGUUCAUAAGCGAUGAAGGCUUCCACUUUUGCAAUCGCACCAUUGAGGCGCUGUUUAAAAAUUACAAUGUGAAGCAUCGGGUUUCCACGCCAUACCAUCCUCAAACAAGUGGCCAAGCCGAAGUCUCGAAUAGAGAAAUCAAGCAAAUCUUGGAGAAGACUGUUGGGCUAAACCGGAAGGAUUGGAGCUUGCGUUUAGAUGAUGCACUGUGGGCAUAUCGCACUGCCUACAAAACACCUCUAGGGAUGUCUCCAUUUCGACUAAUCUACGGCAAGCCGUGUCACCUACCUGUGGAACUGGAGCACAAAGCGCACUCGGCUGUGAAAACAUUUAAUUUGGACUUAGAUGCUGCUGGAAUGAAUAAGAAGCUCCAACUGAAUGAACUUGAGGAGAUACGGAACGAAGCCUAUGAGAAUGCACGAAUUUACAAGGAGAAAAAAAAGGCGUUUCAUGACAAAAUGAUUCGGGGAAAAACAUUCUCAAUUGGACAGAAAGUGCUACUAUUCAAUUCCCAUCUACGAUUGUUCCCUGGUAAGUUACGGUUUAAGUGGAUUGGGCCAUUUGUUGUCACUAAUGUUCUUCCCCAUGGUGCAGUCCAAGUUAAAAGCUUAAGGAACGACGACGAAUUCAAAGUGAACGGGCAUCCCUUAAAGCUAUACUAUGAGAGUGAUGUGGGGCAGAUUGUGGAAGAAAUCCCACUCAGUGUCGUGGGCCCUAUCCAAGCUUAGAAGGAAGUUUUGUCCGACUGCAAGACGCUAAAGCAAGCGCUUAUUGGGAGGUAACCCAUGUUUUGCGUUCCUAAAAACCUUCCCUUUUCUGCAAUUUUAUUUUGCCAUGAUUGUCAUUUUUAUUUAUUGCUUGUUUAAUUGUGUUUUUGUUGUGGGUUUAUUUUUGAAACAUUGACAGAUAUGCAAGGUAUUUUACAUUAAAAUUCGUUGAAAAUGAACAGGAGGCAGAAAAAUACAAGAGGGAGCCUUCACAAAGGCUGCUUAGGAGAAGUCUCAGUAGUCGGCGGAGCCACAGAAGGAGGAGGUAUCGGAGGUUGAUCAUUUGGAGCUUCACUACGCGGUACAACCCUAGAAGAGGAAGGCAAAUGUUGUUGGAACAAACCCACAAACCUUUGAUGAUCAAGUAAAAUCUGACCAGCAGAUUCCUGCAUCUGGUCAAUCUUCCUCUUCAUGUUUGUAGCAUAGUUAUGUGCAAGCUUGUGCAACUGUUUAUUCUUAUGCUUGAGCCCUCUAAUCUCCUGUUUGAGACUCAUCACUUCAGCCACCAAUGAUUCAACUUGACAGGUUCGAGCAAAUAGACGUUGGGCCAUAUUAGACACAGAACCUGCACACUGCACACUGAGAGCCAGAGAAUCCUUAACAGCCAACUCAUCAGACCGUUUGGAAAGUAGUCUGUUAUCUUUGGGGGUGACAAGGUUCCGGGCCACCACCGCAGCGGUCAUAUCAUUUUUCAUCACCGAAUCCCCAACGGUAAGAGGACCAGUAAGGGAUAUGAAGGAUGGGCGCCAUAUGUUGUCUGGAGAAGGCAUGAAUGCCUCUUCACCAAGGUUUAAGUCAAAACGAUGGUCGGAGGGGCCAGACAUUUUCAAAGAUGUUGAAGAAAAAAAAGGUCGGACAAAUCAAGAUCUUAGAAGUGCAAUGAAGGGAGUUCCUAUAGGCAGAAAUUCAAGUGUGCUUAGAAACGAACUGCUUAUCCUCUAUAAAAAUCAGCACUUGACUGGAUUUUAAUGAUCGAAGAGGCGAGCUCAUAAAUCGAAGAGGCCAAUUCAAAAAUUGAAGAGGCGAUGCUUUCUCAAAAGCUGGGCUUGCUCAGAAACCACGGGCCAUCCUCUAUUCCGGAUUUGUCCGCACUUGUCACAUGCAACUUCUGCACUCGACGGAGCUCAGAAAUCGAAGAGGCAAGCUCAGAAAUCUGAAAGGCAUUUGCUUUUCCAAACGUGUCAGCAUCUGUCACAUGCACACUCAGCUUGCGAAAAUCACGGGCAAUUUGUCGAAGCGCCGAUUUCAGAUAUUGAAGAAGCAUUUACUUUUCCAGACGUCUCAGCAUCUGUCACAUGCACACUCAGCCUUGCGGAAAUUACGGGCAAUUUGUCGAAGAUUUCUAGUAACGUAGAAAGCACGUGAAGAUUACUAUUUAAUCAUCCAACGGUUACUGACAAGAGUGAAAGAAUAGUACUGGUUAUUAAUUCAUAUAAAUGUCGACCUUCACCACCCAUUGCAAGGCAGACAUACAUAACCAUUCUUCAUCUCCGAGAAUGCCUUCCCAACAAAGCCUCUCGAGUCACUCAGUGUUCCUUAUUCCCUGGGAUACCUCUGCAAACAACCCAUCAAAAGCAAAAGUAUUUCAUAUCAUGAAGGUUGAAAGCAAGAGUAUCUCAUAUCAUGCUUUCUCCUUGUCCUUUUCUUUGUCGUUGUUUUCAUCUGCGGGACAAGGAGAAAGAGAGCAAUCAGCCAGCACUUGGUAUCAAUCUUCCGAUCUGGAACCAACUGCCUGGAACCCCUUCCUGAUUGCUUACCUAGCCUUGCUCUCGAGUACUCAUCUUCAACAUCUUAUGCUUCCUCUUCGUCUACCACUUCUGCCUAGGGAACAGAUAAGGGAAGUGAAAAUGAUACCUCGAAGCAUGUGGAGACAAUGUGCUAAUUCAUCCUCAGCUAGGGACAAGGAGAAAGAAAGCAAAUGGUCAGCACUUGGAAAGAUUGAAGAAAGAAACAGACUAUCACCUCUACCUCAUGCCUGCCUACCGUGCAGAAGAAACAAGCAAAGAAGAAUGCAGACUGCACAACCAAGGAAUUCUGAUAUUCCUCACUCAUAAUUCCAAACUAGUUCGAGAUCAAAGCAGUGGAAAGUCAACAAGAUCAUCUAUCUCCAAAACCAGAUUUGCGUUCCUAAACUCUACUCUGUCUGGUUUUUACUUUGCUAUACUUGUCAUGUUUAUUUGUUGUUUGUUUGUUUGCUUGUUUUUGUGUGAGUUUAUGCUUGAAACAUUGAGGACAAUGUUUGAUUUAAGUGUGGGGGGUAACCAAAUUGAUUUGCAUGAAAUUCGUAUGAGUUUAUCACCCAUUACUUCUAGUGUUGUUCCUUGCUGUUUUUAAGUGUUUUUAAGCUGUUUUGGAGUGUUUUAGUGUGUUUUGAAAUAAAAAUCAGAAAAUCUCAUCAAAAUUUGAAAAAUUGUUUUGAAAAACCCAAAAAGAGUUGUUUUUGUGUGUUUAUUUGUGUCUUAGGGUACCUUCCAACACAAUGAUGAGGAUUUGGUUUUUAAUUACAUGACUGUUAAAAAGAGUUAUAAACAUGGAUGAAAAUUUGAUUUACUCUUUGGUGUAUGCUUGGUUGUGGUUAUAAUUUAUGAAUUCACAUCAAUCUUAAAGGAAAAAUCAGUUUUUGUAACAUGCUUGAAGGAAUGAACUCAAAUGAACGCUACAACCUUGUGAGACUUGAGCCUAAACGUUUAUUUGGAGAGUUAAUAAUCUGUGCAUCAUUGUUUUCCAAAGUCGUUGCAUGAUCUCAUUAUUCUUUGCUUGGUUGCUACUUAGAAGGCGUUUUAUCAUUUAUUUCCAAAUGCUAUAACUUAUGCCUAUUUCAUUCAAAGCAUGCUAUUGAUUUGCAUAACACAUAUUCAAGAUGAAGUUGGGUAGUGACCACCAAAGCCAAAUUGUUGUGCCCCUAUUUCAUUAUGUGUUUAAGUUUAACCCCGUUGAGCCUUGUUAAGCCUAUGUUAUUUGUUAAUCCACACUAUCCUUACCUAGCCUAGUUUUAGGACCAUCCAUACCCUUGUUCUUGAAGCAUAGUAAAGCAUAACUUAAAAUGAACUCCUUUUUUUAUCAAUGUAUUGCAGAAAGCAAGUGUGGGGGAAGUGAUUCUUGUGUGUGUUUGUGUACCAAAGUCCUUAAAAAGGCAUGGGUAGAAAAAAAAAAAAAGAGUGAAAAGAAAAAAAUUUGUUAAAAAAGGGUCCAAAACAUUGAAUUCGGCCCUAAGUGUUGCAUAAAUCUUCCAUUUGUAUUUAAAAGUUGAUUCUGCAUUCUAAAGUGAAUUCCAAGUGUCUAUUUCAUUGCUUUGCUUGCUAUCGCUUUAAGAACGUUUGUUAUUGCUAUCAUUUCUUUAUUAGCCAUUACCCCCAAGCCCUGUUACAACCCUUGACUUCAAUCUUGAGUGUUGUGUGUUUCAAUUUGUGGAGUUCGAAAUUGGUAUGAGCAUAUGGUGUCACUGGUUCUCGCAUCUAAGUAGUAGCAUUCCAUUCAUGAGAUCAUAUCUAAACAUGCUUAUUAACUCCAGAAAUUGCUUUCUUUGUUAUAACAUAUGUGAGUACUAGUCUUCCAUGUUUACAUUAAUCUGCUCACAUAUAACUAGUGUAGGGUGUGUAGUCAGAAAAUGUGUGUGAAAAUAGAAAGUAUCUUGUAAGGAAUUGAGCAAAUUCUCUAAGGCAUGUUACUACAUUCAAAAUAUUGUUUUAAUUGGUUAAUUGCGAACUAGUAAGUGGUGACUGUAAUUAAGUAUGUGCUUAAGUGUGAAGAUGACUAAAAGCUGUGGGAAUGAUGAUUUUUAACAUGUCAUGUGCAUUGGAAAUCCCUGAGGCAAAUGUUGGAAGGUUAAGUUGUGUUCUGUUUGUUUUGAUUCGUUUGUUUCAUUUGUUUUGCUCGAGGGCUAGCAAAAGCUAAGUGUGGGGGAAUUUGAUAGGAGCAUAUUUAUGCGACUGAGUUAGCUUGUUCUUAUGCAUUUAUGUUGUUAUUCCUUAGUAGUUUUAGUGUUUAAAGUCUUUUUUGUGCAAUUUCAGGUUCUAAGGACAAAGUAUGCAAAAAUGUGCAUUUUGGAGUCUUUUGGAGCAAUUUUGGGCUUGGAAUAAAUAUCACAUGUUUGGAACUAAAGGAAUGGACGAAAUUGAAGACCUAAAGAUGAGGAUUCCUACUUGAAGUAAGAAAGUUAAGCCAAGGUUUCCUAUUUUGGUUUGAUCUUUCCUAAAUCCUAAAUGUCCCUAAGUUCCAUCAACAUUGAAGGUUUCCUAUGGAUUUUAGGACACAAAUUAAGGGUUCCUUGUACCAUAACAAACCUUUGCCGUGCACUCCAUCCAUGUUUAAUUCUUGCAUCAAUCAUCACUUCACUUUCACCUUUGAAUCAUUUCAACACCACUCCAUUUUACCCAUGCUUUGCAUCAUUACUUCACUUUCACCUUUAAAUCAUUUCAACACCACUCCAUUUUACCCAUGCUUUGCAUCAUUACUUCACUUUCACAUUUGAAUCAUUUCAACACCACUCCAUUUUACCCAUGCUUUGCCUUGCACUUCCUCUAUAAAAGGAAGUGUGUGUAACAUAAAUUGAGUUCAUACUUGGUUAGAUCAUUCACUCCCAUUUCAACACAACCUUCAUCCAAACACAUCCAUUCAUCUUCACAUCCAUUCCUCCAUACAAACAAACCUUCAAACACUUACCAACACCUUGUGCCGUAGCAAAGGAAGGGAAGGAAAGUGCUUGGACGUGCUAGCUGUCCAACUUGGAUCGUUGGAGCGUUUAGGUGUUUUCUUUCUUUUGUUUCUAAUGUUUAAAUUCAUUUCCUUUCGUUUUGUUGUAAAUAUGAGUGGCUAAACCCCUCUUGGCUAUGGGUGAUUUCAAAGCCAUGAUUAUGUGUGCAAUAUAAUUUGAUAAAUUCCAGUUAUGAACUCUUGAAUCGUGAAUGCAAUUGGCUUAACUAUUUGAUUGAUA